rnacentral:lncRNA from 1 species
AGACCUGAGUCCAUGUGCAGGAAGAGUGAACCAAGGUGGUCAUGAUGGACCCUGCAUAAGGCAGGGGGAAGGAUGGAAAGUAGAGAAGAAGACGAAUAAGAGGAUGAAGACACAGAGGAAAAAGAAGAGGAGAAAGCAUGAGAGAGGAGGAGAUGGUAGGCAGACACUUGGAUUUCAAGAGACACCGUGAAAUCUGCUUUGGUGUUUUGUUUUGUUUUGUUUUGUUUUGUUUUGUUUUGUUUUGUUUUGUUUUAUUGAAUAGAGCAAGCCACUUUAAUUUGCCUGGGAUGUUUCUAAAAACCACAUAACAAAAUAUAGCAGCGUCAUGUAAAUAGAAAUCUACAAAUCAAUAUCUACAGAUUUAGAAACUCAAUUAUGGGAUUAUUUCAAUCUUCUUGUAUCUGUUGAGGCCUGUUUUGUGACCAAUCAAUUUUGGAGAAGGUACCAUGAGGUACUGAAAAGAAGGUAUAUUCUUUUGUUUUAAGAUGAAAUGUUCUAUAGAUACCUGUUAAAUCCAUUUGGUUCAUAACUUCUGUUAGUUUCACUGUGUCAAUGACUCGUGAUCUCUUUCCUAGGUUUUCUAUCUCCAGGAUUGUCUCCCUUUGUGAUUUCAAAAAUCCCUGGCAAUAAAGGCAGUGAACGCUACCCACAUUACUUCUUCCAAGGGCAACAAAACAUGGGCAAGAAGAUUAAACAAGAUCUAGAGAAACGUACACGCCAUCUAUGUAUUCAUUGGAAGGCUCAGAAUUUACAAGAUAAACAUUCUCCCCAAAUUACUCCAACAGCCUUUAAAAAAAAAAAAAAGACACCGGAAGGCUGGUGCUGACAUGACUCUGUUAAGGCAGAGUGGCUCUAACAAGAAGAGCCUGCCUUCACCCACGAUAUCACGUACUCAGCUCCUGAAUACCAAUCUUCCUCACUGCUCAGUCUGGCAUGUCCACAGCACCGCCCUCCUGUGCAACAGGACAGGGUACAGCCAGCAUGGAGCUGGAAGGCAGCCAGAGUACAGAAGGUGUCAUGAUCUCAGUGCACACAGUAGUCCUGACAUCAGAGACUAGAGCCUCAUGCUCUCAUGCCUUCAGGCUCCUAAAAGCAAUGACCAGUUGUGUCCCAAGAAAUGGCCAAAUCUAUAAAACUGCUCCUGAUGGUGCCUU